GGCGCGGUGCUGGAACUGGUAGACAGGCUGGUCUCAAAAACCUGUGAUGCUUGCAUCAUGUGGGUUCGAUUCCCACCCGCGCCA
rnacentral:tRNA from 1 species